GACGAACGCUGGCGGCGUGCUUAACACAUGCAAGUCGAACGGGAUUUAGUAGACAGAAGCCUCGGCUAAAGAUUACUAAUGAGAGUGGCGAACGGGGGAGUAACGCGUGAGCAACCUGCCUAUGACAGUGGGAUAGCCUCGGGAAACCGGGAUUAAUACCGCAUAAAAUCGUAGAAACACAUGUUUUAACGGUCAAAGAUUUAUCGGUCAUAGAUGGGCUCGCGUCUGAUUAGCUAGUUGGUGAGAUAACAGCCCACCAAGGCGACGAUCAGUAGCCGGUCUGAGAGGAUGAACGGCCACAUUGGAACUGAGACACGGUCCAAACUCCUACGGGAAGCAGCAGUGGGGAAUAUUGCACAAUGGGGGAAACCCUGAUGCAGCGACGCCGCGUGAACGAAGAAGGUAUUCGUAUCGUAAAGUUCUGUCCUAUGGGAAGAUAAUGACAGUACCAUAGAAGAAAGCUCCGGCUAAAUACGUG
rnacentral:rRNA from 1 species